GUGUCAGCAGCCGCGGUAAUACGUAGGUGGCGAGCGUUGUCCGGAAUUAUUGGGCGUAAAGAGCGUGUAGGUGGGAUCAUAAGUCUUUUGUCAAAGUGCGGGGCUCAACCCCGUGAUGCGGAGGAAACUGUGAUUCUUGAGUGCCGGAGAGGAAAGCGGAAUUCCCAGUGUAGCGGUGAAAUGCGUAGAUAUUGGGAGGAACACCAGUGGCGAAGGCGGCUUUCUGGACGGUGUCUGACACUGAGGCGCGAAAGCCAGGGGAGCGAACGGGAUUAGAUACCCCGGUAGUCCUGGCCGUAAACGAUGGGUACUAGGUGUAGGAGGUAUCGACCCCUUCUGUGCCGGAGUUAACGCAAUAAGUACCCCGCCUGGGGAGUACGGCCGCAAGGUUGAA
rnacentral:rRNA from 1 species